GAUGAACGCUGGCGGCGUGCCUAAUACAUGCAAGUCGAGCGAACAGAUGAGGAGCUUGCUCCUCUGACGUUAGCGGCGGACGGGUGAGUAACACGUGGAUAACCUACCUAUAAGACUGGGAUAACUUCGGGAAACCGGAGCUAAUACCGGAUAAUAUAUUGAACCGCAUGGUUCAAUAGUGAAAGACGGUUUUGCUGUCACUUAUAGAUGGAUCCGCGCCGCAUUAGCUAGUUGGUAAGGUAACGGCUUACCAAGGCGACGAUGCGUAGCCGACCUGAGAGGGUGAUCGGCCACACUGGAACUGAGACACGGUCCAGACUCCUACGGGAGGCAGCAGUAGGGAAUCUUCCGCGAUGGGCGAAAGCCUGACGGAGCAACGCCGCGUGAGUGAUGAAGGGCUUCGGAUCGUAAAACUCUGUUAUUAGGGAAGAAAAAAUGUGUAAGUAACUAUGCACGUCUUGACGGUACCUAAUCAGAAAGCCACGGCUAACUACGUGC
rnacentral:rRNA from 1 species